ACGGUGACCGUAUGUCGUUUCUGAUCAGGGAAGACGACCCAUCCGACUACUCGAAGCUCCUCAAUCAAUGCUUUGUAGUCGUCUCGGACAAUGCGCCCUCUCUUCCUCCUUUCGAUCCUCAUUCUCGUUGGUCCCAACUUCAGGUCUCUCUCUCUCUUAUGCACACACACUCACACACAGUUCAUGUACAGACGCAGCGAAUGCAGUAGGGUUUUUUGUGGAAGAAAAGAGGUGCAAUUUGACUUGUACGAAAAUGAAAAAUGGAGGAAAAUCUGAGAUUAAGUUUAAUCCAUGAAAUGAAAAUAUAUAUUUCGAAAGAAAAACUUCAAUUUCGUACAGGAAGUCAUCACUACUCCAUCUACUUCAAUCAAUUUGGAUUUCAUUACAAUUGUAUUGAUGGC
rnacentral:lncRNA from 1 species